rnacentral:rRNA from 1 species
UACGGAGGGUGCGAGCGUUGUCCGGAAUCACUGGGCGUAAAGGGCGCGUAGGCGGCCGAUCAAGUCAGGCGUGAAAUUCCCGGGCUCAACCUGGGGGCUGCGCUUGAUACUGAUUGGCUUGAAUUCGGGAGAGGAUAGUGGAAUUCCCAGUGUAGAGGUGAAAUUCGUAGAUAUUGGGAAGAACACCGGUGGCGAAGGCGGCUAUCUGGCCCGUAAUUGACGCUGAGGCGCGAAAGCGUGGGGAGCAAACAGG